rnacentral:rRNA from 1 species
GACGAACGCUGGCGGCGUGCUUAACACAUGCAAGUCGAACGGAAAGGCCCUGCUUUUGUGGGGUGCUCGAGUGGCGAACGGGUGAGUAACACGUGAGUAACCUGCCCUUGACUUUGGGAUAACUUCAGGAAACUGGGGCUAAUACCGGAUAGGAGCUCCUGCUGCAUGGUGGGGGUUGGAAAGUUUCGGCGGUUGGGGAUGGACUCGCGGCUUAUCAGCUUGUUGGUGGGGUAGUGGCUUACCAAGGCUUUGACGGGUAGCCGGCCUGAGAGGGUGACCGGCCACAUUGGGACUGAGAUACGGCCCAGACUCCUACGGGAGGCAGCAGUGGGGAAUAUUGCACAAUGGGCGGAAGCCUGAUGCAGCAACGCCGCGUGCGGGAUGACGGCCUUCGGGUUGUAAACCGCUUUCGCCUGUGACGAAGCGUGAGUGACGGUAACGGGCAAAGAAGCACCGGCUAACUACGUG